GGAUUAGAUACCCUGGUAGUCCACACCGUAAACGCUGUCUACUAGCUGUGUGUGCCUUUAAGGCGUGCGUAGCGAAGCUAACGCGCUAAGUAAACCGCCUGGGGAGUACGGCCGCAAGGCUAAAACUCAAAGGAAUUGACGGGGGCCCGCACAAGCGGUGGAGCAUGUGGUUUAAUUCGACGCAACGCGAAGAACCUUACCUGGGUUGGAAACCCCUCGAACCCCCUAGAGAUAGGGGGGUGCCCUUCGGGGAGCGAGGUGUCCAGGUGCUGCAUGGCUGUCGUCAGCUCGUGUCG
rnacentral:rRNA from 1 species